GACGAACGCUGGCGGCGUGCCUAAUACAUGCAAGUCGAACGCACUCUCGUUAGAUUGAAGCAGCUUGCUUCUGAUUGAUAACAUUUGAGUGAGUGGCGGACGGGUGAGUAACACGUGGGUAACCUGCCCUAAAGUGGGGGAUAACAUUUGGAAACAGAUGCUAAUACCGCAUAAAACCUAGCACCGCAUGGUGCAAGGUUGAAAGAUGGUUUCGGCUAUCACUUUAGGAUGGACCCGCGGUGCAUUAGUUAGUUGGUGAGGUAAAGGCUCACCAAGACCGUGAUGCAUAGCCGACCUGAGAGGGUAAUCGGACACACUGGGACUGAGACACGGCCCAGACUCCUACGGGAGGCAGCAGUAGGGAAUCUUCCACAAUGGACGAAAGUCUGAUGGAGCAACGCCGCGUGAGUGAAGAAGGUUUUCGGAUCGUAAAACUCUGUUGUUGGAGAAGAACGUAUUUGAUAGUAACUGAUCAGGUAGUGACGGUAUCCAACCAGAAAGCCACGGCUAACUACGUG
rnacentral:rRNA from 1 species